AAUUUCUCUCUUUUUUUAACCUUUUUCUUAAAAACUUCCUUCUUUACCUUUUUAUAACUUAAAGUGUUUAUGUAAUGAACUUCCCUUCCUCAGGGGUAUGAGGCACGAAGGGUGCAUCUCAGUCCCUUUUCGAAAGAGAAAAGGUCUCUGUCUCUUUCUGCUGGUGAUGAUAAGCUCUUGCUUUUUUUUUACCCGGAUAUAGAAAGUGAAAGUGAAAUGCAAUCUUUAUCAACAAAUGAAGGAAGCCAAUUUCUUCUUCCUUAGCGGGCCGUUAAAGCAGCUCUUCUUCUAUCUCGUUCCCGUGGCCUAAGAUAAAUUGCUUCCCUCAAAGAUUGAAAAUCAUCCACAUAUCGACUUUCUUCAGGGCUGGAUACAUAAAAAUUCUUUCUCAUUAUUCAAUAUUUACAAAAUUGGCAAAUGCAACCAUGACACAAAUGUCAAUUCUCAAUAAAUGAUGCGAAUGCACGUCUUUUUGCAAAU
rnacentral:lncRNA from 1 species